CUUCAAGCUUCACAUCCAGGAUCCAUCUGCCUCUGUGGAGAAAAGGAGAGAAGUGGUCCUGAGAUGCCUGAUUGAGUACAUGGGGGAGAGACAGGAAGACCUCAUCAGUGUCCACCACAGUCGUGAUGAAACAGAGGUGCACGCUGAGCUUGGCAGUUGCCCACUGAAAAUUUACAUGUGCCAUCAGCCCGACACGAUUGGGAUUAUCAUAGAAGGACAGCCCGUGGUCAGAGGUGUGCCAAACCUGUCGAAAGCAUGCUGCCUCCUGUUUGGACUUACCUAUGCCAUCGACCUCAAGUAUCCCUCAAAACUGGUGUAUACUUUUGAGAUAUAUCAGAGGCUCUUUGUGGG